AACGAACGCUGGCGGCAUGCUUAACACAUGCAAGUCGAACGAGACCUCCGGGUCUAGUGGCGCACGGGUGCGUAACGCGUGGGAACCUGCCCUUAGGUUCGGAAUAACUCCCCGAAAGGGGUGCUAAUACCGGAUAAUGUCUUCGGACCAAAGAUUUAUCGCCUUUGGAUGGGCCCGCGUUGGAUUAGCUAGUUGGUAGGGUAAAAGCCUAUCAAGGCGACGAUGCAUAGCUGGUCUGAGAGGAGGAUCAGCCACACUGGGGCUGAGACACGGCCCAGUCUCCUACGCAGGGCAGCAGUGGGGAAUAUUGGACAAUGGGCGAAAGCCUGAUCCAGCAAUGCCGCGUAAGUGAUGAAGGCCUUAGGGUUGUAAAGCUCUUUUACCCGGGAUGAUAAUGACAGUACCGGGAGAAUAAGCACCGGCUAACUCCGUG
rnacentral:rRNA from 1 species